rnacentral:rRNA from 1 species
GUCGUGAGACAGUUCGGUCCCUAUCCGUCGUGGGCGUAGGAAAUUUGAGAGGAGCUGUCCUUAGUACGAGAGGACCGGGAUGGACAUACCUCUGGUGUACCAGUUGUCGUGCCAACGGCAUAGCUGGGUAGCUAUGUAUGGACGGGAUAAGUGCUGAAAGCAUCUAAGCAUGAAGCCCCCCUCAAGAUGAGAUUUCCCAACUUCGGUUAUAAGAUCCCUCGAAGAUGACGAGGUUAAUAGGUUCGAGGUGGAAGCGUGGUGACACGUGGAGCUGACGAAUACUAAUCGAUCGAAGACUUAAUCAA